GAUGAACGCUGGCGGCGUGCUUAACACAUGCAAGUCGAACGGAAAGGCCCAAGCUUGCUUGGGUACUCGAGUGGCGAACGGGUGAGUAACACGUGGGUGAUCUGCCCUGCACUUCGGGAUAAGCCUGGGAAACUGGGUCUAAUACCGGAUAGGACCACAUUUUGGAUGGUGUGGUGGAAAGUUUUUCGGUGUGGGAUGAGCUCGCGGCCUAUCAGCUUGUUGGUGGGGUAAUGGCCUACCAAGGCGUCGACGGGUAGCCGGCCUGAGAGGGUGUACGGCCACAUUGGGACUGAGAUACGGCCCAGACUCCUACGGGAGGCAGCAGUGGGGAAUAUUGCACAAUGGGGGCAAGCCUGAUGCAGCGACGCCGCGUGGGGGAUGACGGCCUUCGGGUUGUAAACUCCUUUCGCUAGGGACGAAGCGUUAUGUGACGGUACCUGGAGAAGAAGCACCGGCUAACUACGUG
rnacentral:rRNA from 1 species